rnacentral:rRNA from 1 species
GAUCCUGGCUCAGGAUGAACGCUGGCGGCGUGCUUAACACAUGCAAGUCGAACGAAGCACUUUACUACGAUUCCUUCGGGAUGACGGUUUAGUGACUGAGUGGCGGACGGGUGAGUAACGCGUGGGGAACCUGCCCCAUACCGGGGGAUAACAGCCGGAAACGGCUGCUAAUACCGCAUAAGCGCACAGUACCGCAUGGUACGGUGUGAAAAACUCCGGUGGUAUGGGAUGGACCCGCGUCUGAUUAGCCAGUUGGG